rnacentral:rRNA from 1 species
CGCGUAGGCGGAGCGCUAAGCGGGACCUCUAACCCGAGGGCUCAACCCCCGGCCGGGUCCCGAACUGGCGCUCUCGAGUGCGGUAGGGGAGAGCGGAAUUCCCGGUGUAGCGGUGGAAUGCGCAGAUAUCGGGAGGAACACCAGUGGCGAAGGCGGCCUACUGGGCACCAACUGACGCUGAGGCUCGAAAGUGUGGGUAGCAAACA